rnacentral:rRNA from 1 species
UACGUAGGGGGCGAGCGUUGUCCGGAUUUAUUGGGCGUAAAGAGCGUGUAGGCGGCCAGGUAGGUCUGCUGUGAAAACUCGAGGCUUAACCUCGAGCUGUCGGCGGAAACCAUCUGGCUAGAGUCCGGAAGAGGAGAAUGGAAUUCCCGGUGUAGCGGUGAAAUGCGCAGAUAUCGGGAAGAACACCCGUGGCGAAAGCGGCGCACUGGACCACAUCUGACGCUGAGGCGCGAAAGCUAGGGGAGCAAACAGG